CCUACGGGUGGCUGCAGUGAGGAAUAUUGGUCAAUGGGCGGAAGCCUGAACCAGCCAAGUAGCGUGCAGGAUGACGGCCCUACGGGUUGUAAACUGCUUUUAUACGGGAAUAACGCGCCUUACGUGUAGGGCUUUGCAGGUACCGUAUGAAUUAGGACUGGCUAAUUCCGUGCCAGCAGCCGCGGGAAUACGGAAGGUGCGGGCGUUAUCCGGGUUUAUUGGGUUUAAAGGGAGCGUAGGCCGGAUGUCAAGCGUGCUGUGAAAUGUUCGGGCUCAACCCGGGCCUUGCAGCGCGAACUGGUGUGCUUGAGUGCGCGGAAAGCAGGCGGAAUGUGUGGUGUAGCGGUGAAAUGCUUAGAUAUGACGAAGAACCCCGAUUGCGAAGGCAGCUUGCUGCAGCGGAACUGACGCUGAUGCUCGAAAGCGCGGGUAUCGAACAGGAUUAGAUACCCCAGUAGUC
rnacentral:rRNA from 1 species